AUGAUCGUGGAGUUAAAAGAUGCUGUUGACCGUUACCGGCUUCUUGAAGAGGAAAACUGGGCGAAAGCGACGGACCUGGAGAAGGCCCGGGUGGCUGCCAAGGAAGCCCGCUCCAAAAUUAGAGCGACGAAGGAGGAGCUGAAUCAAGCUGCAGAUAUUAUGUCUGGGAAGCCUUUCUUGUUGCGGACUAAGUUCGGAGAUCCGAAGUAUGCUCCUCUGGACCGGCUAUGGAGUUCUGCGGACGCGUACAUGGAUUUGGCUGCCAGCGCUGCUGAUGCCGCCGAGUACUUCAAGGAUCAGAAAGGUCCCAAGUGGAGAAGCUGUUCUGGUCACAGUUUCAUGCUCCAGUCCGUCCGUUGCUGCUGA
rnacentral:rRNA from 1 species